rnacentral:rRNA from 1 species
UACGGAGGGUGCAAGCGUUGCUCGGAAUUAUUGGGCGUAAAGGGUAGGUAGGUGGUCUCAUUUGUCUGGGGUGAAAGCCUUGGGCUUAACUCAAGAAGUGCCUCAGAAACGGUGAGACUGGAGUCCUGGAGAGGGUCGUGGAAUUCCCGGUGUAGCGGUGAAAUGCGUAGAGAUCGGGAGGAACACCAGAGGCGAAAGCGGCGACCUGGACAGGAACUGACACUCAACUACGAAAGCGUGGGGAGCAAACAGG